CCCCCUUGAAGACGACGAGGUAGAUAGGGCAGAGGUGGAAGUGUGGUAACACAUGGAGCUGACUGUUACUAAUCGGGUGAGGGCUUGACCAAG
rnacentral:rRNA from 2 species